UACGGAGGGGGCGAGCGUUGUCCGAAGUUACUGGGCGUAAAGGGCGCGUAGGUGGCCACCAUAAGGCCGCUGUGAAAGUCUGGGGCUCAACCCCAGAUCGGCAGCGGCGACUGUGGGGCUCGGGUACUGUAGAGGCAGGUGGAAUUCCGGGUGUAGCGGUGGAAUGCGUAGAGAUCCGGAAGAACACCAGUGGCGAAGGCGGCCUGCUGGGCAGUGAACCUGAAAGGGUCCUUCAACCGACACUGAGGCGCGACAGCGUGGGGAGCAAACAGG
rnacentral:rRNA from 1 species